rnacentral:tRNA from 1 species
CGCGGGGUGGAGCAGCCUGGUAGCUCGUCGGGCUCAUAACCCGAAGGUCGUCGGUUCGAAAUCCGGCCCCCGCAACCA